GGGCGGGGGCGGAAGACCGGAGUCUCCGGCCGGGGGACGCCGCGCGGCCGGGGUGGGUAGCUUAGGUUUCGGUUUUCUUCAGGCUGAGGGAGCGGGCCCUCCCACGAGGCCUUCGACCUUGGGCGGAGAGCUCGGAGACGGAGACGACGCUCCGGGAUCCGCGGCGCGCUGGGUUCGAGCCCCGGCGGGAUCGCUCCGGAAGUGGCCCAGCUCCCGCCCGGAAAAAUGGGGCCAACACGGUCCUUCCUGCCCCAACGCGGCUGUUAGGAUCCCGUGAGAUGGGGCCCCCGGGCUGGCCGACACGGAGCUGGGCUGUGUAGUGAGAAGACAAACAUGGGGAAGGACACGGAGGUCACAGAGUAAUACCCCUUUAGCAAGUGAGUUUAAACCCUGAACUACGUAACCCAAAACAUCUCCUUAACUAGUUGGCUGCACCACCUCCAGUCAGAACCUUGUUUACUUGAGAAGAAGGUGCGGAGGGAGACAUUUGUUAUUUACGUACUCACACAGGGUUUGAUGUACCAAAAAGCUGAAAUCUAAACCCCAGAUUUUCUCUUUUCUGGUUCUGUGCCCUAAAAUAGUUUCAAUUUUGUCAUAUAAAAGAGCCAAUAGGGGAUCCCUGGGUGGCUCAGCGGUUUAGCGCCUGCCUUUGGCCCAGGGUGCGAUCCUGGAGACCCGGGAUCGAGUCCCGCGUCGGGCUCCCUGCGUGGAGCCUGCUUCUCCCUCUGCCUGUGUCUCUGCCUCUCUCUCUCUCUCUCUCUCUCUCUCUCUCUGUCUCUCGUGAAUAAUAAAAAAAAAAAGCCUGUAAUAACUUGCCUCGUUGGUUGUUCUGUUAAUUAAAUGAGUGCCUGGCACUUAAUCAUUUAAUAACCGGUAUAUAGAAAUUCUUUGCAUAAUCUUUACAAAUGAUCAACUCCAUGAAUGAGUAAUUGCUGUUAUAGGGACAGGCCCCGUUUUGGUUGCUGAGGUGACCGUGUCGAUUCCUGUCUAUGAAGAGAUUUCUUUCCAGUGGGGCAGACAAGUAAUAAACAGGUUAAAAAAAAAAAAAAAAACUACAUCGUUUAGCAUGUCGGUGGCAAGUGAUAAAAAUAAAGCAAGGAAGGGAUUAGGAAUGUGUGUUGUGUAGUUAGAAGGGAUAGCAGCUGAAAUUGUAGAUACCCCUAGGGAAGGCAACAUGAAGGAAGUGAGGAGACGGAGCUAGCCACACAGCUGUCUGGAAAGUAGCAUCUGAGGUACAGGGCACAGCAGGUGUAGGGGUCCUUAGACAGAAGUGUGCCCGGUUCCAGAAAUAACUGAAGAGACGAUUGUGAGUAAAGUGGAGAAAGGUGAGAGCCAAGUGGGAAGAGAUGAGGUCAGACAGGUCCUGGAACUAGAUCACACCAAGCUUCGUAGGUCAUUGUAGGUCGUUUACCGAGUAGGUAAUCUGCCCUUACAUUUGAACACCUCUCUGGUUCAUUGGUUGAAAAUACAUUAUGGACGAGCAAGAGCAAGGAGACUGUUUAGGAGGCUUUUGAGGCAAUCCAUCAGGGUUUUGGCGGUGGAAGUUGGUAGGAAGUGGUGAGUUCUGAGUAUGUAUUGAAAGUCAAGCCAAUCAGAUUUGCUAGCAGAUUGGAUGUGAGGUGUAAGAGAGAGAACGGUCAGGGAUGACUUCAAAGUUUUUUGACACAAGUGAUUAAGUUGGUUUUUACCAAGAUGGAAAAGAAUGUGAGAGGAGCAGGGAUGGAGAUGGAGUAAAAUAUUGGGAAAUCAGUCUGAGAUGUGUCACCUUUGACAUGCCUGUUAAACAGCAUGACAGUGUUGAGCAGGUAAUUGAAUAUCAUGUCUGAAGUUCAGGGUAGAGGUCUGGGAAGGUACAGUUUUGGGAAUCAUUGGCCUAUAGAUGGAUAUUUAAAACUGUGUGACUAGAGGAGAUCAUCAAGAGAAUGAAUAAUGUAGUCAGAAAAGACCAGCAAGGUCUAAGGUCCAAUAUUGAGAGAUUGAUGAAAUAAGGAAGAAGAGUGCAAAAGAGACCAAGAGGGAAUGGCCGUUGAGUUAGGAGGAAAGCCAGACAGGUGUGUGCCCUGGAAACCAAAAGAAGAAACAGUUCCAAGGAGCGUUCGUGUCAGAUGCUGCCGAUAAUCCUGCGGACAUGGAGUGGUGUCAAAGAAGAACUGUCUCCCAUGGAGUGUGUCUUGGAGCCUCUCUUAAUCACAGUACCAGGUUCAGUGAACUAUGGUCAUGGGGCUGUUGAUAUUUUUAUGAAAUGAAAUGUCUGUUUCUGGAAGACAGAUCUGAGAGAGAAAUAUGUAGAGAGAUGACUGGCAGAUUGAGAAAUCUGUCGUAGGAGCAUCAUUCAAAUACAUUAAUAGCAAAAGGGAUGGAUACAAGAAUAGAUGUUUUUAUCGUUUCAGGAAUUAAACUCAAACACCCCCUUGAACCUGUCUAUAUCUUGUAUCUUCACCUUUUCUGCAAACACUUUGGUUUAAAAUGUAUCUGUGGAAGAUCCAGUUUAAUUAUUUUAAUCCUACCAAUCAUAACUUCUUGGUGGAGUAUAGGACUUUGAAUGUUCUCCUUUGGUAUUAAAGUUUUAAAGCUGACUUCAUUUGCUUAUUUUUAAUCUGCCUAUCCAUUAAUCGGAGUAAAUAAUUUUAUAAAGUCAUUUGGGGAUUUAGCUAAUUAAAUUUAAUUAUGUGUUUGGGGCAGAUUUGCUGUCUUACAUAAUUGUUCUAGUUUAAAUAUAUGACAAUGGACAAUUUUUUUUCUUAACCAAGACAGUCUGAUUAUUUUUCUUUGAUAACAACCUUGUCCUCACUACAAAUUAUUUUAAGUGUGAAAUGUAAUAAUUUUAUGUCAUGUAAAAUAUCAGCCAAGUCAGCUUUAUAUUUCUUUUUUUCUUUUUAAAUUAUUUAUUUACUCAUGAGAGAGACAGAGAGAGAGGCAGAGACACAGGCAAAGGGAGAAGCAGGCUCCACGCAGGGAGCCCGAUGUGGGACUUGAUCCCAGGUCUCCAGGAUCACCCCCUGGACCGAAGGUGGCACUAAACCGCUGAGCCACCCGGGCUGCCCCCAAGUCAGCUUUAAAAACUUAAAGUUCAGAGUUAGCCUACCUCAGCCUUCACCGUCCUGCAAUUUAUUUGAAGCCUGGAAAGACAGAACAGGGUGCGGGAUAGCAUUAGAAAGGAUCCUGGAAACGAAGCACGAAGCAUGAUAGAGCAUAUGAAACCUGUCCUCGUUAGGAAUACUAGGGUUCAGUUGAUCACAAUUCAACAAAGACAAUGAAGCUGCAAAACAAUCCAGAAAAAAAAAUGAUCAAAGAGAAAAAAAUGGCCUCUGCCGGCUUAAAAAGAUUAGGUUUCUUAA